GUGGCCUGGUGGUUAAAGCAUCUGCCUCAGAGGCAGGAAGUUGCAGGUUCAAACCCUGGCCAAUUCA